rnacentral:lncRNA from 1 species
GUUGUAUGUGUUUUAUCAAGGCCAACCCCAUCAUUCCCCAGCUCUUGUGGCCUUGCCGAAGGCUCUGAGGUCACAGGUCCCUUCUUCAAGCUAGAGCCCUCGGAGCAGAGUAAUGGCUGUUUCCUGGCCAUUCUCACCAGAGAGCCUGAGCCAGAGGUUGUGGAAACGCCACAGGACGUGCUAGCCAGGGCAAAUGCCAAGGGCCUGCUGGACAGGAUCGGUUGCAAUCAACCAGCCAGAAAAGAACGGCAUGGAAACACCAACCGGAUGACAAAAGGAAACCGUGCUUGCCCUUCUCAGUCUCAGCCCUCCAUCAGUACCCAGUCCAGAGUCGAUCAACUGCGCAACAGAGAGGCUAAGGGCAGCGGCUCUUCACAGUUUGCUAGUAGGCAACUGUCACCACAAGCCAGUAUUUCCUUGCCAGCUGCAAAGAACACUGCCUUCAGUCCCACACCUUGUACGAUUAUCAGCCAGGUAAACAAAACUGCGAGGAAUGGAACCCGGCUUGCCAGCACAUCCACAUCCAGCACCCGCUCCACCCUGCAUCCUGCCACUGCUGCCCCUGUUGGCCGUUCUCCUAGGGGCCGUCAAGAGGUGCUGAGGCCUGUGGCGCUCACUCUGCCUUCCAUUAACUUCCCCAGCUUCUCCCAACCCCCAGAGUCCAACACCAUCUAUAGUUAUGCA